rnacentral:lncRNA from 1 species
UACUUACUUACUUAAUGAUACUUAAUGAUGUUUUCCGGUACAGGAUCCUCACGGUUCCUCUUCACCAGACUCAUAUAAUUGAUUAUUGUCUCCAUUAUUUCUGAUGCUGCUUCCGGUUAAUUCAGCUCGAUAAUCAGAAUAAUAGAUUUCUUCGUACUCCCAGUAUCUAUCUAGUCUAUUUUUGAAUGAGUUUAUAGAUGGCGCUUUAGUUACUUUAUCCGGUAACUUGUUCCAUAAUUUGGCUAUUCUUACAGAAAAACUGUUUUUCCUCAGACUUGUUUUGAAUCGUUGGUGAAUGAUUUUAUUACUGUUUACUCUUGUGCUAUGUCUAUUUUCAGUGCUUGAAAUUAAUUUAAGGAAUGAACUCGUUUCUGGAUCGUAAUUACC